GACGAACGCUGGCGGUGUGCUUAACACAUGCAAGUCGAACGGUAAGGCCCUUUCGGGGGUACACGAGUGGCGAACGGGUGAGUAACACGUGAGUAACCUGCCCUCAUCUCUGGGAUAACAGUCGGAAACGGUUGCUAAUACUGGAUAUGAGCUUGCAAGGCAUCUUGUGGGUUGGAAAGAUUUUUUUUGGUUGGGGAUGGACUCGCGGCCUAUCAGCUUGUUGGUGAGGUAGUGGCUCACCAAGGCUUCGACGGGUAGCCGGCCUGAGAGGGCGACCGGCCACAUUGGGACUGAGAUACGGCCCAAACUCCUACGGGAGGCAGCAGGGGGGAAUAUUGCACAAUGGACGGAAGUCUGAUGCAGCAACGCCGCGUGCGGGAUGACGGCCUUCGGGUUGUAAACCGCUUUCAAUUGUGACGAAGCGUUUUUGUGACGGUAGCAGUAGAAGAAGCACCGGCUAACUACGUG
rnacentral:rRNA from 1 species